AGCAGCCGCGGUAAUUCCAGCUCCAAUAGCGUAUAUUAAAGUUGUUGCAGUUAAAAAGCUCGUAGUUGAAUUUCGGGAUCAAUGUUUCGGUCAUGCCCUUGGUAUGUACUGAUAUUAUUGGUUUCUCACCUCCUAAAGAACCGUAAUGCCAUUAAUUUGGUGUCACGGGGAAUUAGGACUGUUACCUCGAAAAAAUUAGAGUGUUUAAAGCAGGCUCACGCUUGAAUACAUUAGCAUGGAAUAAUGAAAUAGGACAUCCGAUUCUAUUUUGUUGGUUUCUAGGAUCGAUGUAAUGAUUAAUAGGGAUAGUUGGGGGCAUUAGUAUUCAAUUGUCAGAGGUGAAAUUCUUGGAUUUAUUGAAGACUAACUACUGCGAAAGCAUUUGCCAAGGAUGUUUCCAUUAAUCAAGAACGAAAGUUAGGGGAUCGAAGACGAUCAGAUACCGUCGUAGUCUUAACCAUAAACUAUGCCGACUAGGGAUCGGAUGAUGUUAAUUUUUUAAUGACUCA
rnacentral:rRNA from 1 species